GCCACAGUCAGUGCAGCUACCACAGACCUAGGAAACACAAUAAUCUCAGUUGUACAAGGCUUUCAUGCCACAGCUUUAAUCCUAACCCACUAACCAUUGAUUUUUGCAUCACCUUCGUCUGCAGGACUUGUUUCCACCUGCCCUAAGGGGGUCUGCAGCCAGCCUGGCCUCCUCCCCACAGUGUCAGCAGCUGAGCAUCGUUGGAGGACACAGAGGAACUCUGCUCUUCCCAGCCAAAGCAAUGAUCACCUGGGACUUGGAAACAGGAGGGAACAUUGUAUUUUCCAGCCAGCUCUACUCACGAGUGAUUGUGCAGAGCUCUGCUAAUGGGCUCUGCCAAGCUGUGGUCACCCUACGGAGCUAUUGGAAGGAGAGGUGGCAAGUUGGAAAGGACUACAAGAGAACUCUGCAUGAUAUUUUUUGAUGAGCUGAUUAUUCAGAAAUUUCACAAGAGCUGAAAUAUAUCACUCUGUUCUGAAACUCACAGCCCUGCCAACACACAGGACAGCUUACACGAGCAGCAGCAUUUUCUCCUUCACAGAGUUGCUUGGCCUGCACGUCAGGAACCAGAUGUGGGAAUCGGACAAGGCUUUUCAGCAGCCAUCGACCACAGUGACAGUGAGAGGUGGGGAGUGGAUAGGAGGACACAGAGAGCUGGCAUAGAAAUUAUUUUGGUACUUUCAUGGCUGUCACUAUGUGUGUAUUUGGGCUUGAGAGCUUUUCAUUAGCUCUGUGGGUAGUGGGGCAUUAAGAUUUUUAUUGCUUUACAGCUGGGUAUGAGAUCACCCCAGAUCCCACACGGAUUCAGGUAUUUUUAUUUCAGGAGUGCUCAGUCCCUGGCCACAUUUCAGGGUACUGUCACAGGCCAGGAGCUGACCUUGACUCCCCCCUUUGCACCUGUCUUAGCAUCAGCCUGCAGCCCAGUCAGGCUCCCACAGAGACCAACAGAACAUUCUCCCUUCUCUAAAUUAGCAUUAAUUAAAAAAGCCCCACUGGCUUAUUUGAGUACAGAAUCAAAAGAGAGCCUGAUACCUGGGGGGUGGGUGAAUGUAUGCUGGGGGAGGUUAGAAGCAGCAUAGAUUUCUGAAUUAAUACACAAAGUCUUCAAGAAGCUGACACAGCCCAUCCCCAGCCCAUUGAUCUGUCAGCACACAACCAUUUUGAGCUGCCUGGGGUGGCAUCAGCUGUCCCGUGGAGAACUGGAGCUGGUACAUCUGCAUCUGGAGCAAGAACAAUGCUGACCUGCUGAAAGACAAAUAACAAACAUCCCCAUGCUGCACUCACAGCCUUUGCUGAGAGCACUUGGGCUGCCUGGCAGGAAGAGGAUGCAUGGGCUGAGGUGUCCCCAUCAGAUGUGUGCUCCCAAUAACCUGUCUGUUCUUCUGUGUGUGUCCUGAGACAACUCUUCUGCAAUUUCUGUUCCAGGGCAGUCAGGGAACUUGUGGAGCUCCCAGCCUGCUCCUGCAAGUCAGUGAGGAGAAUUGUGGCUGAACCAUAUCUGGUUUACUCGUGGAAAAAGAGGCACACAGGCACAGCCCUUCAGAGGAACUGCUGCUUCAGGAAAAACUCUUAGGAAUUGAAAAAAUCUGGGAAAUUUUCCUCUGUGUAAGGACAGGGAAUGAGAGUCCGAGCUCUGUCCUGUUAUGAAGCCACCCCAUUGGGACCACUCCUCUUGUGCCAUAUGAGCCCCUGCACAGGUCAGGCUGUAACCCUCCAGGACAGACAAUCAUGGAGCAGUUCAAUAUGUCCUGAACGUGAUCACACUGUGCUGCCAGGCAGGCAAAGCUCUGCCAGGCUCUGGCUUGGACCUGGCCGUGACCUCCUCAAGCCCUCAGGUAGGCUCUGCACCCUAUGGCCUCCCUCAGCAUGACUCUUAUUGAAGGACUUGGGGCAUUUUGUUUUUCAUCCUGAGCUUGGGGCACACAGAAAGCUUUGGUUGUUUGCUUCCCUGCAGUUCCAGAGGAUUAUUGGUGCUCUUUUCACGCAAAUCUUACGGACUUAUUUCUUCUCUCUUCCAUCUGUUGUGUGACAUCUUUUCCUGUGUCAUGUGUUAGCAAUCAACAACUAACUCAUGGUGGGUUUCUUCCUGUGCAGGGCUCUGAACACAGCAUUUCUUGCUGAGAGAUUGUUCCACGUGGGAGGCUCCCACUUGUUAUUUGUGCCAGUCUAACCCUACUGUGAUUACUAUCCCAUGAGAAACUUUACAUAUUAGUUGUUUUACUGAAGUGUUUUGUAUCACUUAAAUCUCCAGAAGCUUUGUCAUAAUGCAUUAAAAGAACAGAGAAAAGAAAGAUCUCAGGAAGCUUAAUAUUUCUUGUUAUAGAACCAAUCUGAAGAAAAAACAGCUUUCCAAAUUUAUCUUGGCUAGUCUGUAAAAAAAGUCUUAGUUUUUAUGAAUUGCUACACUACUAAAAGAUCUAAUUUUUCUAUGAUAAAAUAGCC